rnacentral:rRNA from 1 species
AACGCUAGCUACAGGCUUAACACAUGCAAGUCGAGGGGCAUCAGGGUAGCAAUACCGCUGGCGACCGGCGCACGGGUGAGUAACACGUAUCCAACCUACCGUUAACUCGGGGAUAGCCUUUCGAAAGAAAGAUUAAUACCCGAUAGUAUAUUUUCUUCGCAUGUUGAAAAUAUUAAAGAAUUUCGGUUAUCGAUGGGGAUGCGUUCCAUUAGGCAGUUGGCGGGGUAACGGCCCACCAAACCUACGAUGGAUAGGGGUUCUGAGAGGAAGGUCCCCCACAUUGGAACUGAGACACGGUCCAAACUCCUACGGGAGGCAGCAGUGAGGAAUAUUGGUCAAUGGACGAGAGUCUGAACCAGCCAAGUAGCGUGAAGGAUGACUGCCCUAUGGGUUGUAAACUUCUUUUAUAUGGGAAUAAAGUUCUCCACGUGUGGAGUUUUGUAUGUACCAUUAUGAAUAAGCAUCGGCUAACUCCGUGCCAGCAGCCGCGGUAAUACGGAGGAUGCGAGCGUUAUCCGGAUUUAUUGGGUUUAAAGGGAGCGUAGGUGGACUGGUAAGUCAGUUGUGAAAGUUUGCGGCUCAACCGUAAAAUUGCAGUUGAUACUGUCAGUCUUGAGUACAGUAGAGGUGGGCGGAAUUCGUGGUGUAGCGGUGAAACGCUUAGAUAUCACGAAGAACUCCGAUUG